rnacentral:rRNA from 1 species
CCUACGGGAGGCAGCAGUAGGGAAUCUUUCACAAUGGGCGAAAGCCUGAUGGAGCAACGCCGCGUGCAGGAUGAAGGCCUUCGGGUUGUAAACUGCUUUUAUAAGCGAGAAAUAUGAUGGUAACUUAUGAAUAAGGAUCGGCUAACUACGUGCCAGCAGCCGCGGUCAUACGUAGGAUCCGAGCAUUAUCCGGAGUGACUGGGUGUAAAGAGUUGCGUAGGUGGGAUAAUAAGUAGCUAGUGAAAUCGGGUGGCUCAACCAUUCAGACUAUUAGCUAAACUGUUAAGCUCGAGACCGUUAGGGGUAACUGGAAUUUCUAGUGUAGGAGUGAAAUCCGUAGAUAUUAGAAGGAACACCAAUAGCGUAGGCAGGUUACUGGGACGGUUCUGACACUAAGGCACGAAAGCGUAGGGAGCAAACGGGAUUAGAUACCCCUGUAGUC